ensembl:snoRNA
CUGCAUUCUCCAAAACCCCCCGUGAGCUGCGUGUAGCUUCUGGGACAAGAAGGAAUGCAAGAGAAAGCCAAGAACUUUCCAAAGCUACAUGUCUUCGCAGUGACUAUUAGCUAUUUCACCUCUUGAACAUUG